rfam:Gossypium arboreum cultivar AKA8401 contig_24653_1, whole genome shotgun sequence.
GGGCUUGUAGUUCAGAGGAUUAGAGCACGUGGUUACGAACUAUGGUGUCAGGGGUUGGAAUCCCUCCUUGCCCA